GGAUCGUCAUCUUCCUUUCUCCUAAGGAGAGAACACUGGGGUUUUUUGUUUUGAGUUCUUUGAAUUCAGCUGGUAGAAUCAGUGUUCUGUGGCUAGAAGUAAUGAUUUUCACUGGGCCAGUUUGGACUCUGAAGAGUAAUGUAUUUAAGGAUCUUUCAUGCAAAGUGAAUGAUUCUAGCCACAUUCCCACCUAGAAAACACCACAGUAUCCUCAGGCCCAGGGCACUGGCCUCUCAGGGGCACUGGAUGGUUUGUGCCGGGAUUUAAAAAGUGACAUUUUCUUUCUCUUUAAGCAACUUAUUUUCAACUCUCUCACCAACUGCCUGGGGCCCCGGAAGCUCUUGCACAGUGGGAAAUUAUACAAGACCAAGAGCAACAAGGAACUGCACGGAUUCCUCUUCAAUGACUUCCUGCUUCUUACCUACAUGGUCAGGCAGUUUGCUGUUUCCUCUGGCUCUGAGAAACUUUUCAGCUCGAAGUCCAGUGCUCAAUUCAAAAUGUAUAAAACGCCCAUUUUCCUGAAUGAAGUCUUGGUGAAACUGCCCACAGACCCUUCCAGCGAUGAGCCUGUCUUCCACAUUUCCCACAUUGAUCGGGUCUACACCCUCCGAACAGACAACAUUAAUGAGAGGACCGCCUGGGUGCAGAAGAUCAAGGCGGCAUCUGAGCAGUACAUCGACACUGAGAAGAAGAAGCGCGAGAAAGCUUACCAAGCCCGCUCCCAAAAGACUUCAGGCAUCGGGCGC
rnacentral:sRNA from 1 species